AGGAUGCCCAGUUCACAAUUGGCAAAACAAGUAAGAUGUCUGUGGCAUUUUGGUACCCUGAGAAUGGAAAACCAUGGCAUGGGUCUGGCCACUUUUCAAUUAGCUGCGAUUGGAUACUGUUGGAUAUCUUGGCAGAUAGUUCUGAGCUCACCAAGGUGCCACAGAGAAGUUCUUGGGAUGCUGCUACAGCAUUCUCCCUUCUCUUUUCAGUAGUGGCUUUUUGUAUAUCCAUCUUUGUUGGGCAUAGAGUCUCGAGAACCAAGAACAUCCCUUUUACACCCAUGAGCAAUCUUUAAAACUGGGACAAGUUUCUGCAGAUAACCUUUUUGCUUUCGAGUUGACGUUGAUUAGUUCAUUCUUGAUUCUAGUUUUGUUUUGUGAUAUUAUAAAGAACUUUACACUUGGAUUUUACAGUUUCUUUCUCUUCUUUGUUGUGUUGAAGU
rnacentral:misc_RNA from 1 species